rnacentral:rRNA from 1 species
AACGCGAAGAACCUUACCUGGGCUCGAAAUGUAGUGGAAUGGGGUGGAAACAUCCCCGUCUCGCAAGAGACUGCUAUAUAGGUGCUGCAUGGCUGUCGUCAGCUCGUGUCGUGAGAUGUUGGGUUAAGUCCCGCAACGAGCGCAACCCUUAUCUCCAGUUGCCAUCAUUCAGUUGGGCACUCUGGCGAAACCGCCUCGGAUAACGGGGAGGAAGGUGGGGAUGACGUCAAGUCCUCAUGGCCUUUAUGUCCAGGGCUACACACGUGCUACAAUGGCCGGUAUAAACCGCUGCAAACCCGCGAGGGGGAGCUAAUCGGAAAAAGCCGGCCUCAGUUCGGAUUGCAGUCUGCAACUCGACUGCAUGAAGCUGGAAUCGCUAGUAAUCGCAGAUCAGAAUGCUGCGGUGAAUACGUUCCCGGGCCUUGUACACACCGACUGUAC